rnacentral:rRNA from 1 species
GACGAACGCUGGCGGCGUGCCUAAUACAUGCAAGUCGAGCGGACCGAAUGGAAGCUUGCUUCUGUUCGGUUAGCGGCGGACGGGUGAGUAACACGUGGGUAACCUGCCCGUAAGACCGGGAUAACUCCGGGAAACCGGGGCUAAUACCGGAUAACACCGAAGACCGCAUGGUCUUUGGUUGAAAGGUGGCUUUUGCUACCACUUACGGAUGGGCCCGCGGCGCAUUAGCUAGUUGGUGAGGUAACGGCUCACCAAGGCGACGAUGCGUAGCCGGCCUGAGAGGGUGACCGGCCACACUGGGACUGAGACACGGCCCAGACUCCUACGGGAGGCAGCAGUAGGGAAUCUUCCGCAAUGGACGAAAGUCUGACGGAGCGACGCCGCGUGAGCGAAGAAGGUCUUCGGAUCGUAAAGCUCUGUUGUUAGGGAGGAAGAAGUACCGUUCGAAUAGGGCGGUACGGUGACGGUACCUAACGAGAAAGCCCCGGCUAACUACGUGCCAGCCGCCGCAGUAAGAC